CUCAUAUUAAAAGAUAUAAAAUUUUAAUCAAUAACGAGAGUGACGGGCGAUGUGUACACACUUCAGAGCCAAUAUCAGUUAAAUUAAAUAAUUUAAAUUACUAUCAAAUCCACCUUCAUUAAAAUAUUUCAAAAUUAAAUCCAUAAUAAAAAAAAAUUAUUGUAACCCAUCAUACACUUAACUAUAAGCUGCACCUUGACCUGAAAUAAAUUUUAAUAAAAAAACAAGAAAAUUUUUUCUCCAAAAAGAUUUUCUGAUAACGGAGAUAUACAAACAAAUAAAUUAAGUAAAGUAAAUCGUGUACUAUCAAUCAUGAGAUAGGUUCCUCUGAAUGGAAUGAAAUACCGCCAAAUUCUUUGGGUUUAAAGACCUUAACUAAUAAUACCCAGGUAAAACAAAAUUUACAUUUAAAAUAAUA
rnacentral:rRNA from 1 species